rfam:Myotis brandtii contig205267, whole genome shotgun sequence.
GAGACACCCUUAUGGGGCAGGACUUGCUUAAGUAGGGCUUUGGUGCUCACUGAGUCUGCCCCUUUUGUGUGUGUGUCU